UGAGAAUCUUAGAAAAGAAUUGAAGUGUAUGGGCGCACCAACAUUUCUAAGUGUUGACUUCCUCCUUUCAUUAUGUUUCAGUAUGUUACUUAAGGAGGUGGCUGCAUCUAUUGCGGAUAAGCUGGAGGAGGUCUGUUAUAAAGAGUGGUAGGGAUGAAGUGAGGAGAUUUGCACUUAAAGAAGCAAAACAAUCAAAGGAUGGAGGGACAAGGAGAUUGAAUCCUUCGAAUCUGAAGUUAAGAAAGCAAAAGAAGAGACUACGAGUGUUGUUCAACACCUUCAUGGAGUUGAACAUGAUGUGGAACCCUUCGAUCUAUGAUGCAAGGAAUGAUUUUGACUCAAGAAGAAAUGGAAGAAGUUGUUCUUAAAAGAUGUUGGCUUGCUUGUUACUGGGGCCUAGCUGCAAAAUAUGAAACAAAAUAUUGUUUGUAGAAUGAUUGAAGUCAUAUCGGGUUGAAAGCUAAGUGAUUGUGUAGAUAGCCAGACGAUCAGGUAGAAAGAUAAGUGAUCGUUGAAGGUUGAAGGCUGUGAAGGC